rnacentral:rRNA from 2 species
UUGAACGCUGGCGGCAGGCUUAACACAUGCAAGUCGAGCGGGGAAGGGUAGCUUGCUACCUAACCUAGCGGCGGACGGGUGAGUAAUGCUUAGGAAUCUGCCAUUUAGUGGGGGACAACAUUCCGAAAGGAAUGCUAAUACCGCAUACGUCCUACGGGAGAAAGCAGGGGAUCUUCGGACCUUGCGCUAAAUGAUGAGCCUAAGUCGGAUUAGCUAGUUGGUGGGGUAAAGGCCUACCAAGGCGACGAUCUGUAGCGGGUCUGAGAGGAUGAUCCGCCACACUGGGACUGAGACACGGCCCAGACUCCUACGGGAGGCAGCAGUGGGGAAUAUUGGACAAUGGGCGGAAGCCUGAUCCAGCCAUGCCGCGUGUGUGAAGAAGGCCUUAUGGUUGUAAAGCACUUUAAGCGAGGAGGAGGCUACCUAGAUUAAUACUCUAGGAUAGUGGACGUUACUCGCAGAAUAAGCACCGGCUAACUCUGUGCCAGCAGCCGCGGUAAUACAGAGGGUGCGAGCGUUAAUCGGAUUUACUGGGCGUAAAGCGUGCGUAGGCGGCUUUUUAAGUCGGAUGUGAAAUCCCCGAGCUUAACUUGGGAAUUGCAUUCGAUACUGGGAAGCUAGAGUAUGGGAGAGGAUGGUAGAAUUCCAGGUGUAGCGGUGAAAUGCGUAGAGAUCUGGAGGAAUACCGAUGGCGAAGGCAGCCAUCUGGCCUA